GACGAACGCUGGCGGCGUGCUUAACACAUGCAAGUCGAACGGAAAGGCCCCUUUGGGGGUACUCCAGUGGCGAACGGGUGAGUAACACGUGAGUAACCUGCCCUUGACUUCGGGAUAACUUCAGGAAACUGGGGCUAAUACCGGAUAGGAAUCCUUGCUGCAUGGUGGGGGUUGGAAAGCUUCGGCGGUUUUGGAUGGACUCGCGGCUUAUCAGCUUGUUGGUGGGGUAGUGGCUUACCAAGGCUUUGACGGGUAGCCGGCCUGAGAGGGCGACCGGCCACAUUGGGACCGAGAUACGGCCCAGACUCCUACGGGAGGCAGCAGUGGGGAAUAUUGCACAAUGGGCGGAAGCCUGAUGCAGCAACGCCGCGUGCGGGAUGACGGCCUUCGGGUUGUAAACCGCUUUCAGCAGGGGCGAAGCUUGUGGUGACGGUACCUGCAGAAGAAGCACCGGCUAACUACGUG
rnacentral:rRNA from 1 species